rnacentral:rRNA from 1 species
UGGGGAAUAUUGCACAAUGGACGGAAGUUUGAUGCAGCGACGCCGCGUGGAGGGUGUAGGCCUUCGGGUUGUAAACUCCUUUUUCUCGCGAAAAAGGCACAGUUUUGGCUGUGUUGAUGGUAGUGGGGGAAGAGGCGCCGGCUAACUACGUGCCAGCAGCCGCGGUAAUACGUAGGGGGCGAGCGUUGUCCGGAAUUACUGGGCGUAAAGGGUUCGCAGGCGGCAUGGCAAGUCCGAUGUAAAAGGCGAAGGCUCAACCUUCGUAAGCAUCGGAAACUGUCAAGCUUGAGUGAAGGAGAGGCAAGUGGAAUUCCUAGUGUAGCGGUGGAAUGCGUAGAUAUUAGGAGGAAUACCGGUGGCGAAGGCGACUUGCUGGACUUCAACUGACGCUGAGGAACGAAAGCGUGGGUAGCAAACAGG